CCAGACUCCUACGGGAGGCAGCAGUGAGGAAUAUUGGUCAAUGGGCUUACGCCUGAACCAGCCAAGUCGCGUGAGGGAAGACUGCCCUAUGGGUUGUAAACCUCUUUUGUCAGGGAGCAAUUGGCGCUACGUGUAGCGUUAUCGAGAGUACCUGAAGAAAAAGCAUCGGCUAACUACGUGCCAGCAGCCGCGGUAAUACGUAGGGGGCAAGCGUUAUCCGGAUUUACUGGGUGUAAAGGGAGCGUAGACGGCAGAUCAAGUCUGGAGUGAAAUCCCGGGGCUCAACCCCGGAGCUGCUCUGGAAACUGAGAAGCUAGAGUACUGGAGAGGCAGGCGGAAUUCCUAGUGUAGCGGUGAAAUGCGUAGAUAUUAGGAGGAACACCAGUGGCGAAGGCGGCCUGCUGGACAGCGACUGACGUUGAGGCUCGAAAGCGUGGGGAGCAAACAGGAUUAGAUACCCUAGUA
rnacentral:rRNA from 1 species